rnacentral:rRNA from 1 species
UACGUAGGGUGCAAGCGUUAAUCGGAAUUACUGGGCGUAAAGCGUGCGCAGGCGGUCUUUUAAGUCAGAUGUGAAAUCCCCGGGCUUAACCUGGGAACUGCGUUUGAAACUGGAAGGCUAGAGUGUGGCAGAGGGGGGUGGAAUUCCACGUGUAGCAGUGAAAUGCGUAGAGAUGUGGAGGAAUACCGAUGGCGAAGGCAGCCCCCUGGGAUAACACUGACGCUCAUGCACGAAAGCGUGGGGAGCAAACAGG